AAGGCUCUUGGUGAUGCCCUAGCACCUGCCUGGCCCCUGUGUUGGCUCUCCCACAGGUGUGUGGGAUAUAGGCAGCUUUUAAAGAUGUUUAAGAUAUCCUAUAGUGUGUUAUACAUCCACAGGUACCCUGUGGGCAGGCAGCUGACCCCUGAAUCCCAAAGGCAGCGCUCUGCCAUAAAACUGCUGGGCUGAACUCCUCAGCUGCUGCUGGUGGCCUCGCGUCUCUGGAAAUGGUGCUUUGGGUCAGGUCGGAUGAAGCAGCAGCAGAGGGAGCUGGUCGGCCGGUGGAUGCUUGAAAAGCAGCGCUUAAAGAUGUUCUCAUUUUGCUGAGCACUUCGGGGCUGAGCAGGAUUUGUGCCCUGCUGCUGUGUGCUGGGUUGGGCGUGCCCUUGCCUGGAGCUGCUGAGCCUCGCAUGGGGACAUGGAGGGGAAAAGUCUGACUCAGGAGGUGUUCUUAUUUCUGUCUGGUACAGCUCUGCAGGGCUGGGUGAAGUUUCAGCUCUCCUGAGAGGUUGUAUCCUCCAGGAAAAGGUGCUCAGAUCUGCUGGAUUUCCCAGAAAGGGGCAUUUUGGCUGCUCAAGGAGAGGGCUGCUUCAGCUCCUCUAGAUCUGGCUGGGUUUUCUUCAUUCAAAAAAACAUUCCGGCUUAAGCACUCAGCAUUCAAAUGGGAUUUGACACUGGUUUUCCUUGCAAAUUGUGGCUCUAGGGCAGAUGGGAAUGAGAUCUCUCCGAUGCACUGUGAAAGCUGCUAUGCUCUGGGCUUCAUCCAGCAUGUCUCUAAGCCUUCCCUGGCGGUGCCAAGUCCCUGGUCCCCUGGAAAGGUUGGGCAUCAGCAUCCUGAGGAGAGGUGUGCGUGGGGUCCCUCUCCUUUCACCCGCAUUUUCUGAUGCAUCUGUUCUUCAUCAGGGUAUACGUGAGCUCCAGAGAGAGCUGGGAGAGCCUGAGCCUUCUCAGAGACCUCCGUGCCUUUGGGAACAUCUCCCUGUAUGCCUUUCUAGGGUCACACAGCCGACGUGAGGUACUGCAGGGAGCGAGGAGCCAGUGCAGCACGACAUCAAGUCCUCUCUAAGGGGACUUGAGAGCAAGGAGCACGGUGGGGUCACCUCCGUCCCCGGCACGGAGCGGAAGGCUCUGUCCUGGUGUCAACCCCAGUGACUGCAGAGCGAGGGCCAGAACGUUCCCUGGGCUGGAGCCGAGCCUUGCUGAGGUCAGAUAUCCAGGGGUAGGAAUAAUAAUGUGUCCCCAAGGAUGUCUGAUAGACCAAUGGCUGUGUGUCCCUAAUGCCCGGCCGCACAAAGCACGUUGAUGCAGCACAAGUGCAGCAACACAGGUGCCAAGCUCUUGCAAUUCAUGUGCUCGUAGCUCCAGAAAAGCCACAUCUUAGCUCCACGCUUCCCCCUGUGAGGGCUGGCCUUAAUUGGGAUCUCCAUGUUCAUUCUGAAUUAUUCAUAAAUAAGGGUUCUUUCAUACACACCGAUUUUGCUUAUCCUGCUUUGUAUCUGGCGUCUUGCAUCUCAGGCUGGCUCUGCUAAUUAAUUGGCACCUAUGAGAUUACGAGGCAAAAAAAUCCCUCCAAGUCUUUCUGAGAGCUUUGUAUCUGAAUUCACAGACUGAGGUCUGAGCUUCUGCCUACUAUUAAUAUUCAUUAAAUAAUAUUUAUCCUUA